rnacentral:rRNA from 1 species
UAAGGAAUAUUGGUCAAUGGACGCAAGUCUGAACCAGCCAUGCCGCGUGAAGGAUGAAGGUCCUCUGGAUUGUAAACUUCUUUUAUCUGGGACGAACACGGGAUUUUUAUCUCAAUUGACGGUACCAGAGGAAUAAGCACCGGCUAACUCCGUGCCAGCAGCCGCGGUAAUACGGAGGGUGCGAGCGUUAUCCGGAUUUACUGGGUUUAAAGGGUGCGUAGGUGGGCUUAUAAGUCAGUGGUGAAAUCUCCGAGCUUAACUUGGAAACUGCCGUUGAUACUAUAGGUCUUGAAUUAUCUGGAGGUAAGCGGAAUAUGUCAUGUAGCGGUGAAAUGCUUAGAUAUGACAUAGAACACCAAUUGCGAAGGCAGCUUACUACAUAUAAAUUGACGCUGAGGCACGAAAGCGUGGGGAUCAAAC